rnacentral:ncRNA from 1 species
CAACCUCAACUCAUAUGGGACUACUCCCUGAAUUUAAGCAUAUUAAUUAGGGGAGGAAAAGAAACUAACAAGGAUUUUCUUAGUAGCGGCGAGCGAAAAGAAAUCAGUUCAGCACUAAGUCACUUUGUCUAUAUGGCAAAUGUGAGAUGCAGUGUACGGAACAUCAACAUUCUAGUAUGAGAAGUUAACGAUUUAAGUCCUUCUUAAAUGAGGCCAUUUACCCAUAGAGGGUGCCAGGCCCGUAUAACGUUAAUGAUUACUAGAUGGUGUUUCCAAAGAGUCGUGUUGCUUGAUAGUGCAGCACUAAGUGGGUGGUAAACUCCAUCUAAAACUAAAUAUAACCAUGAGACCGAUAGUAAACAAGUACCGUGAGGGAAAGUUGAAAAGAACUCUGAAUAGAGAGUUAAAUAGUACGUGAAACUGCUUAGAGGUUAAGCCCGAUGAACCUGAAUAUCCGUUAUGGAAAAUUCAUCAUUAGAAUUGUAAUAUUUUAAACAAUAUUAUAAUAAUAGUGUGCAUUUUUUCCAUAUAAGGACAUUGUAAUCUAUUAGCAUAAAUAUUUAUCAUAAAAUUAUGUCUGAUUGCUUAUUUGAAUUAUAUGC